rnacentral:rRNA from 1 species
CCUACGUGAGGCAGCAGUAGGGAAUUUUGCGCAAUGGGCGAAAGCCUGACGCAGCAACACCGCGUGAAUGUUAAGCCCUUCGGGGUGUAAAGUUCUGUCAAUAGGGACGAAUUUUGACUGUACCUAUAAAGGAAGCACCGGCUAACUCCGUGCCAGCAGCCGCGGUAAUACGGGGGGUGCAAGCGUUGUACGGCAUCAUUGGGCGUAAAGCGUUCGUAGGCGGCAAUGUAAGUCUGAUGUUAAAGCCCGGGGGUGAACUCCGGUUCGGCAUUGGAUACUAUCUAGCAAGACGGUGGUAGAGGUAAAGGGAAGUCCUGGGGUAGCGGUGAAAGGCGUAGAUAUCAGGAGGAACAUCGGUGGCGAAGGCGCUUUACUGGACCAUUAUUGACGCUGAGGAACGAAAGCCAGGGGAGCAAAUGGGAUUAGAUAGCCGUGUAGUC